AUGGGACCCAGACCGUUUGCAGAGCACUUCCAACCCAAGAGCUUACGUGGUCCUCCCAAUAGCAAGAUUCCUGUGGCAAAUACACCUUCCAGUGACAUCACACACACACACACACACACACACACACACACACACCUUCCAGUGAGUCACACACUUGUAUAAUCUCCCAUUGCCGGGGGGGGGGGGGGCAGGACUUGUGGCUUGCUUUUAGGCAAUAGAACAUGACAAAGGUGAUGUGUGUCACUCCUAUGAUGACAGUUACAUUAUCUAACACUUCUUAGGAGACUGGGGUCAGAGAGUCUCCUGCUGGCUCUGAGGAAGAAAGCUGCCAUGUUGUGAUUUGCUUAUGGAGAAGACCCAUGGCAGGGAGCAGCAGGGGCCUCUGGGAGCUGAGACUCGCCCCUAGCUGACAGCAAGAAAACAGGAUCCUCAGUCCGGUGUCUGGAAGAAAUUCUGCCAAUGCCUGCAUCAGCUUGGGAGAAGAUCCUGGGCUCCAGUAAGAAACAGAGCCACGCCAGCAUCUUGACUGCAGGCUUGUGAGACGCCACAGGGGACUUGGCUAAGUUGAACCCAGACUCCUCACCCACAAAAACUAUGAAAUAACAAAUGUGUGUUGUUUUAAGCUGCCAAGUUUGUGGUCAUUUGUUACGUGGCAGGUAACAAACAUAGCUCCUAUUGCAUUAUCGUGUGUCCCUCCGUUCAGACCAUAAUAAUUUAAUGUCUAGUCUAGCUUUACCUUUCCAAUCUGAACAGAAGCUUCUUGAAAACAAGGAACCUGUCACACGUGACUUGUGUUCUCAGAGGGUAGGAGAGUGAAAGGCACAAGAGAAAGUAUUGAUGGAAUCUUAGUCCAGGAAAGAACCAUAAAGUGGCUGAUAACGUGUGCUGCGUAGGGAUGUGGUGGGGCAAAAUGAGGAAUGUGUGGGAAACACGUAAACUGAUAACUGGAUAGUUAUCAUUAGAUAUAUUAAAAAAUACCACAUCUAGCCCCAUUCCCUCAUUUUGAGGAUGAAGGAAUAGCUCCCUCCACUACCACCCUCUAAAAAAAGAAAUAGACCCAGCAAAGUAUCAUGACUUGUCAAAGUCACUCAGCAGUUCUGAGGCCAGAACUCACCGCUCAGACAAAAUAUUAAAUGGGUUAAAUGAGGCACUAAGGCAACCCAUGAAUUCACGGGUUGAAGAAAACAAAAAGAAGGCCCUUUUUCUUAGACCCUUUCCCUCAUUCUGACUCUCCUCCUCACUAUUUUUCCUGUACUUUUUCCAUGAAGACCACAUGAAAAAUUACUUUUUUGGUAAAUUGAGUAACUGAUUUGCAAUAGUUGAUCAUAUGUACAGACUAGAGGGUUUCUUCAAGAUUCCUUUAGUUGCAAGGGACAGAAACUCAGUUCAAACCAGCUUAAGCCACAAAGAGAAUCGAUUGGUUCACGUAACUAAGGAUGACACUGGGUAUCCCUGUUAACCGUAGCUGCAUAACAAAUCAUCCCAAAACUUAGUGGCACAAAACCAUCAUUUUAUUACGCUCACAGACCCUGCAGGUCAGGAAUGCAGAUAGAACACAUAGAGAUGACUGGUCUCAGUCCCGUGGUGCCUAGGGCUUCCGCUGAGAAGCCUUGAAAGCUAGGGUGAUUUGAGGGCAGAGGUCAUCUAGGAAUGUCUUAGUCCUGGCAACAGAGGCUAGCUGCCUGCUGGGACUUCAGCUUUUGGCCUGACUCCCAUACAUGGCCUCUUCAUGAGGUCUUCUUGGCUUCUUCAAGCAUGGUGAAGGUUACCAGGACCUUUCUUCUAGUCCUCUUUCAGUACAACUGGCUCUCCCCACAUCUGCGCCAAGAGCCUUUGAGACAAGGAGGCAGAGAGGAAGACUCGGAGCCAGUGAGUCACAUGAGCACUUAGCACCAGCAGGUGCUGGCAGCUCUCACAAAGUCUAUUUACUGACAAACACAUAUCUACUAAUAUUAACUAAUCCCUCAGAUGUUUGCAAAUGAGGCAAAGCUGUGAGGAGCUGUGCGGAGAAGCGGCAGCUGGGCAUCCAACCCCAACACCCAUUCGUGGAGGGCCACAUCUUCCACCGGAAGCUACCAAAGCCCAACCCCAUGUCCAAUCCCUGGAGCUGAGCAGUUCUGUUACAUAGACUUGAAACCCGGAGUCUCUGUUCAUAUUUAACCUACUCACUUCAGUCUUUUCCAAAAAACAUAAAGUAUGAAGAUCUUCAACAGAGAGCACCCACCAUUCCCUUAAAUUCAUGUCCCAGAGAUGUGAUCAGACAAUUUUCUCCUUAUGUGUUAUCUUCCAUAACUAAAAUAAAUUCUGGGCAAAUAGCCUCCA
ensembl:lncRNA